rnacentral:tRNA from 1 species
GGAUGUGUAACUUAGCAGGCAGAGUAGCGGUCUCUUAAACCGAAGGUCGUGAGUUCGAAUCUCACCACAUCCACUA